CCUACGGGGGGCAGCAGUGAGGAAUAUUGGUCAAUGGACGAGAGUCUGAACCAGCCAAGUAGCGUGAAGGAUGACUGCCCUAUGGGUUGUAAACUUCUUUUAUAUGGGAAUAAAACGUUCCACGUGUGGGAUUUUGUAUGUACCAUAUGAAUAAGGAUCGGCUAACUCCGUGCCAGCAGCCGCGGUAAUACGGAGGAUCCGAGCGUUAUCCGGAUUUAUUGGGUUUAAAGGGAGCGUAGGUGGAUUGUUAAGUCAGUUGUGAAAGUUUGCGGCUCAACCGUAAAAUUGCAGUUGAAACUGGCAGUCUUGAGUACAGUAGAGGUGAGCGGAAUUCGUGGUGUAGCGGUGAAAUGCUUAGAUAUCACGAAGAACUCCGAUUGCGAAGGCAGUUCACUGGACUGCAACUGACACUGAGGCUCGAAAGUGUGGGUAUCAAACAGGAUUAGAUACCCUGGUAGUC
rnacentral:rRNA from 1 species